AAGUCGUAACAAGGUUUCCGUAGGUGAACCUGCGGAAGGAUCAUUAACACGUGAAAAUACUAAUCACGUAUUAACAACCCACCGAGAAUUUUUGUUUUUUUAUUGAAUCCUAUUGUUAGAUGCAGGUAGACGAAGUGAGGGAAUGCUAUGGGCCGCCCGUUCGAAAGAUGUGAGAGUACGCCCUAACUCAUUAGUUGUUCCAUGGUCCGCCCAGGAGCUUGCACUGACAAAUAGUUGACGAGUAGCGACUGCUUAUUAAGCCUGUAGCAUAGCUUGCAGAUCGUUAUGAACCUUAUUAACCCCUUUUACUAUUAUUUAUUGAUUUGUACGUUUGUAUGAAUUCCUGACUUUUGUCGGUUGUAGUUUGUAUAAAUGUCGUAUAUUACUAAUACGAAACAACUCUUAGCAACGGAUAUCUUGGUUCUC
rnacentral:misc_RNA from 1 species